UCAACCUUCCAUCGAUCCCGAUAACACAAUCUCAUCCCCCUUUCAAUAUCAAACUAUCCACUGCAAGCAGUGGAGAAAUAAUGCUAAUAUGAGUAAUAAGAGAAAAAAGAUUCUCUCCCUGCACAAGUGUACUUCGGAACGGACCCCCCGCCGAAUUUUAACGUCCCCAAACAAAGAGGGAAAUGGGCUACAAAUUAAAAAACUAGAAAAAUGUCCAAAACGAGACCGUUAACCCCACACUGGUGUGCUACAUGGGAAAGACUAAAAGGAGGGGAAGGAACUCGGCAAACACUUAAAGCCUCGCCUGUUUACCAAAAACAUCGCCUCUUGCAAGACCAAUGAAUAAGAGGUCCCGCCUGCCCUGUGACUAUAUGUUUAACGGCCGCGGUAUUUUGACCGUGCGAAGGUAGCGCAAUCACUUGUCUUUUAAAUGAAGACCUGUAUGAAUGGCACCACGAGGGCUUGACUGUCUCCCUCUCCCAGUCAAUGAAAUUGAUCUCCCCGUGCAGAAGCGGGGAUAAAAACAUAAGACGAGAAGACCCUAUGGAGCUUAAGACGCCAGAACAGCUUACGUUAAGUAACCCCCGAUAAGGAAGAAAACCAAGUGAAUCCUGCUCUAGUGUUUUUGGUUGGGGCGACCGCGGGGAAAAAUUUAACCCCCAUGUGGAAUAGGAGUACUACCUGUUCCUACAUCUGAGAGCUCCCGCUCUAAUAAACAGAACUUCUGACCAACUAAGAUCCGGCAAUGCCGAUCAACGGACCGAGUUACCCUAGGGAUAACAGCGCAAUCCUCUUAAAGAGCCCUUAUCGACAAGGGGGUUUACGACCUCGAUGUUGGAUCAGGACAUCCUAAUGGUGCAGCCGCUAUUAAGGGUUCGUUUGUUCAACGAUUAAAGUCCUACGUGAUCUGAGUUCAGACCGGA
rnacentral:rRNA from 1 species